AAAUCGAAAACUCUCCACCGUUCACCUCUUUCACUCAAGCCUCUCGCCUCAGCCUCGAUCCUCAGCAUCUCUUCCUCCAUCGUCGUCGUUGAAGGCUUGUAGAUUGAUUUUACAUACUACUUGAUUAAUUUAGUUGAAUUGUUGAAUUAAUAACAAUAGUUCCAGUAUACAUCUCUCUCUCUCCACGCACAUCUCUUUCAGUUUAAUCGAUUGAAGAAGCUCACAUAAUCCUUUUCUUCUUUUCAUUAUUUUUGCAGUUUCGAGUUCGAUCAUGUCGAAGGACAAAGACUUUACCGAUUUGUCGCUCACCUUCAAAUUCCUCUUAGGCAUCUUAUGGCUCUAUGUUUUCCUCUGAAGAUUAUCAAAGAAGUGUUACUAAUGGUGAGCUUCAAAAAAAGAUGAAUGAUGAAAAAAAGA